GUGGGGAAUAUUGGACAAUGGGCGAAAGCCUGAUCCAGCCAUGCCGCGUGUGUGAAGAAGGUCUUCGGAUUGUAAAGCACUUUAAGUUGGGAGGAAGGGCAGUAAGUUAAUACCUUGCUGUUUUGACGUUACCGACAGAAUAAGCACCGGCUAACUUCGUGCCAGCAGCCGCGGUAAUACGAAGGGUGCAAGCGUUAAUCGGAAUUACUGGGCGUAAAGCGCGCGUAGGUGGUUUUGUAAGUUGGAGGUGAAAUCCCCGGGCUCAACCUGGGAACUGCCUGCAACACUGCAUGACUAGAGUACGGUAGAGGGUAGUGGAAUUUCCUGUGUAGCGGUGAAAUGCGUAGAUAUAGGAAGGAACACCAGUGGCGAAGGCGACUACCUGGACUGAUACUGACACUGAGGUGCGAAAGCGUGGGGAGCAAACAGGAUUAGAAACCCCGGUAGUCC
rnacentral:rRNA from 1 species